GGCUUAUAUUAGUGCGGUGUAGUUAGGACGAAUAUGCCAAGUCUUAGUGGGAGUAAAUUAAAAGAUCCUAAAAAAGUCACUCCAAAAAAGAAUAAUUAAAACGUCAAUUUGCAUGCCUUCUUCGUUGCCUACUUUAAUUUCCCGUUACAUUGAGUAUUGUGAAUCCAUUAUAACAUUCGAUGACAUGGCGUAGUGAUAGCCGUUGAUCUGCUUCACGACAAGCUCCAAACAAUCUUGAGGGUAGUGGUAGAUGUUGUUUUCUGGAAACAGUUUCUCUCAUGUUGGUGAGUUGGUGUGAGCCUGAGGCUGCUCACGAGGAAGGAGCGGGAGAGCCUUCACCAAAAAUGAU